GAAUAUAAGAAGAUCAAUUACCUGCAGAAGCAAGACCACCAUCAGAUUGCAUUCUAAAAUCACCUUAAAAGAGAACCAAUCCGAGAUCACUACACCCACACUCAAGGAGAUGCUUUGAAUUGAUGGUUCAAAAUACAAACAACUAACCAUUCACCACAUAAGCAAAUCUUAACUUUGGUACCAAAUGCCAACAAUGCUGUCAUACUACGAGAAAGAACACCAUUUUGAUAUGAAGUAUAUAAUUUUGUAGCAGGUUUACUGUAUCGACGACAACAGACUCAUCUAUGAAAGAAAACAAAUGCAAAGAAGAAAGGAACACAGCUUUAGCAGGAUGUAACCGGUAAAGCUCCCACCUUUUCGCUCCAAGUAAAUCUUCACCAAGCACCCAAUUCACAAGACACUUUUUUGUUCAUAAGAUAAGACUACCAAGAAAUUAAAAGUCUCCGCUCACAUAAACUACUUGCACAAAUUCUACACGAUAGAAGGUGUAAGCUUUCAGCUUUCAACAACACUCAAACAAAGCUGACAAUAAAUCCAAGCCAAAAGUGGAAUAGAAAGCAGAUACGAUCAGAUUAACAAAUAUAAAACAGCUCAUUGUUUGGUAGCCAACCAAGACGCAUUAGCCAAACAAGGAAAAUGCUUUCAAUUUCGCCAUCGCAUAGGACCUGGGUCCGUAUUAAUCAGAGUUAAAUUAAGGGAAAGUACCUUAGGAUCGGUGAUGUGAG